rnacentral:lncRNA from 1 species
UCUGUCACACUCAAGUCACAAAAUAUUUAACCACUUAUUUUUUUAUCUCUGGAGGAAUAAUCCAAAAGAUUGUACUGGUAAAGCCAGAACAAUUUCCAAUUAUGCUAAUUAUUUGUAUAAUACUUAGUUGGCUUUAUCUGUGGUUUGUUGGCUUAUUUUCCUGUAGCUUUUCAAGGUUUUUCUAUGAGUUCUGUUAAAGAGUCUGAAAAUGGAGCGUAGAAGACAUGCUUCGAUUUCCAGGAUGGUUGUGUUUUCCAGAGAGGCGGAGGUAAACCACUGGCGCAGCCCUGCCUCCCACAGAUAAUUCCGGGUGCAGUGUUUCAUAUCUAGACUUGGACUUCUAUCCUACCAUACUUCUUUGUGUGCAGGCCAUGUUUUCGCAGGCAGUCUUGCUAUCAGAGCUGAGGGGAUGCUGUUUUGAUCACUUAGUUUAUCUGAUGUUGCUGGGCCUCCAACUGGUGCUGACUGGUACUUCCUGAGAUGGCGAAGGUUUUUCUGUACUCUGAGAUGCCGUGUAUCUCUAUGUAAGGGGAGGAGACUCUGGACCACAGGAAUGAAGAGAACAUCUUAGUUCAUUGUGGAACCAGCACAGAUUUUCAUACGAAAGUUAUUUCUUUUUAACCUCAAAAAGUGACAGAAUGGAGUGUAUCAUGAAAAAGUCUGACAUCAAAACCUCAAAAUGUGAUAUUGAUUGGGUGAGAUAGAAUUCCAUGGAAUUUCAUUGCCAAACCAGUGAAGUGCUAAUUUUGACAUUUGUACCAGCUAACGUAGCUGUGAAGAAACACACCAAUACACUUCUAAGGACAGCAUAGACCAAGAUCUAGGUUUCAUAUGGAUGAAUUUAUUCUUCCCUUUGAGGCAAGACAAGAAGGAAAGAAAGUAUUGGGAAUAAUGCUGCCCUCCCAUCCUCAAGGGCCAGUGGGAACUCUAAUAUUGAUUGGUUUUCACAGAAUUCCAUGGACUUUAACUGCUGAACCAAUGAUGCACUGAUUUUGUCACUUGUACCAGCUAACGCAUCUGGGAGGCAACAAAACAAUACUCUCCUGAGGUUAAUGUGGACCAAAAACUAGAUUUCAUAUAAAAGAGUUUAUUCCUUCUACUUGAGGUGUGACAUGAAGGAAAGUAAUGGAAAUAAUUCUGCCCUCCCAUUCUCAAGGGCCAGGGGGAAUUCAAAUAUUGAACGGAAGUGAUUUUGGAAUUGCAUGGAAUUCUCACUGCCAUCCCAAAGAAAUGCUGAUCUUGUCACUCUUACCUGUUUCAUUCCCUGGGGGCAGAACAAAAGGACGCACUCCAAAGAUCGGCAUGAACCAAGAACUGGGUUUCAUAUAAAAUAUUUUAUUCUGUCCUCUUGAGAUGUGACAUGAGAAAAGUAUUGAGAAUACUUCUAUCACCUCAUCUUCAAGAAUCCGUAGGAAUUCUCCCAUGGUGGACUUUACGGUUAACCUGAACAGGUCUUGGAAAAAGGACUUUAAACAUUCUCCUGUUCUGUGGAAUAAGUAUACUUUUUUCUGGACAUACACCUUGUCAGUGAGUUCCAUGUGAUACUAGAGUUGCAUAGAUUUUUAACCUUUACGCCAAUGAAGAUCUGAGGCAAACAUUGCCCCUUUUUUAGAAGUUUGCAUUUGUCACUGAUAACUGUAAUAAUUGAUCUUGUUGAAAAGCCUGGGAAAUGAAGAUCUGAUAUGUCACUUUUACCGGCUUCCUCAACUGAAAAAGAAUACAAUGAAACACGCUGAGAAUUUUUGUGCUUUCUCAGUCUUGCUGAUGAUCUUUCUAUGGGCCUGAAGCGUGGAGAGUGCCAGAGAGGCUGAUCCUCAGCAGUGUGGCAGAGGAAAGUUGGGUGCGACUAAGGGGUAUGCGGUGCCCACAUGCCACUGGGUCCUCAGCAGUACCACCUGAUUGGAAGUGAUAUUGGUGGAAGACAACAUUUUGCCGCUUGGAAUUCUCACCUCCACACCAAAGAAGUACUGUUUUUGUCAUUUGCACCAGCUUCUUUCUCCAGGAAAGAUCAAAACGAUGCACUGCAAGUGUGAUUGGUCCAGAUAGCUGCCUUAUCCAACUGCCUCCUUUGGACCACUUCAUCAUGGGACAGCUUGAUGCAAUCUACUUGACAAGACCCUGGAACCCCACACCCCUCAUGGAACCAGUGUCCACCUCCCAGUCACAGUGUGACCCCAGGGAACUCUUGCCUGCUUGCUUUAAACCCACCACUUAAAAGUCUCCACAGAAAACCUGUUUGAAUAGUACCCUUGACCCAAUAAGGGCAUUGGCCCCUGGGUGUCUCUCUCUCUCUCUCUCUCUCCCCUCUCUCUCCCUCUCUCUCUCUCGCUCCCUGACCUCUGCGUGUGGACUCCAGGCAUGCCAUAUACCCCUCAGGACCUGAAGCAAAAGAAUGAAUUAAAGAAAACUCCAGAGAAUGAGCUGACAACCUACUCCCUGGUCAGUGGCUCUCCAUGCCUACCUGUGGUCUCUUGGACACCCUUGCAGAAGAUGACUUCCUGGGAACUCUUCUGGGAGUGAAUGUUAUCAGCAAAUUCCCAAAACAACACCCCUUAGACAAAAAGCCUCCUCACCUAUGCAUUGCCUAGACCACCCACUAAAGGUGAUGGCCACAAAGAGGUGGAUUUGUUGAGUUGGUGCCAUUCCUUCUACUGCCAGCUUCACCAAAACAAUGACACAGUCUUCCUUCCGCAUGGAGACUCUUCUCUUUCCUGUGUUGCAGUGGAUGCCUCCUGCAGAUAAGAAAUGCUUAACUGAGAAAUGCUCAUGUUGGGAUAUCAUCGAUGAGACUUUAAUUUGGGCAUGGUGACUGUUUCCCUUGCUGCCACUUGACUCAAUCCCAGGAGCCUCAGUAGAGGAUAUAAUAUUACACAAGAUGCUCAAAAUGGUGGA